AAACAUAGUCGUGAUUCAUGUCAAAAUAGACUAUAGUGUGAUAAGUGUAAUUGUUGUACCCUGUGUAAAUCUAAAACAGUUUGUGACCACUAUAACCUGUAUCACAAUUGUAAUGAACAGGCGGAUGCGCUUCUCCUUUAAGACAAUGAAACCACUUCUUAGAAAACUCCCCCUUCCCCUGAGGCAAUCGCUACUUAGAAAAGCGCGCCAAGAAGACAAAGACCCUGAGACUCUCAAAAGCGCGCCAAAGGCGAGCCAAUAGGAGGAGAAGGUGUACCCUAGUAACACAGACGACCCAAUGGGGAAAGAGCAGGAUGCUUAUCCGGCGAGAAGAGAUUGGUCACGAUGCUGGUAUAAGAGACGCUGUUCAGAACUCCGGGUGGGUGCGUGUGCUGGGGCUGAGUUCUCUGCGCACCGGGGGUUGUUUUUGCUUAUUGUUUCUCAACCUAAAUCGAUUGAACUCAAAAUAAAAAUGUUUUAAUUGUUAUCGUUUAUAACAAUUUGGUGACCCCGACGUGAUCUCGCUGUGCUUUCCUGGACUGUGGCUCUCCGAGGGGCGCCCCACAGGUUGUGGCUCGGGAGUAGCAGUCUGGGUCAGUCUCCGGAGAUCAACGAACAAAAGAGAAACAAUAACCAAAAGGGAUUGGAGCUCCCAGGAGAAAACUGCAGUAAAAAGGGCCCGUAAUUCUGGUGCACGAAGAUCCGAACGAAGACGACGGAGUCAAAGGCGAUAAGGACGGCUGAAAAGGGGUGGACACAUGCUUCAAGGGUAAAGGGACCAAUAAAGGAAUGGAGAGUCGUAACUGAACCUGGGGAUACCAAACUUACCUUUAAAAGAACUUGAUGUAACGGCUGGGGAAAUUCAUAUUGACUUCCCUAAAAGGGGACUGUAAAUUCAACUCUAAUUGAAUUUACAAAAAUUUAAAGUGCUAGAGGACCAAUUUAUCUUUAGUAGCUGAUGGAACCCACUUUUUCCCCAAUUUUCCCAGACCUCUGCGAAAGGCACUCUGUAGUAAAGACUGGAGGGAAUCGGUGCUGCAGCUGACAAGGUCUGCCAAGGGCUGCAACCCCUGGGGGGGUGACCCCUGGGCAUUAUGAUGCUGAAUGGACCUCUCUUGAUAUGGGUCCUGAUUGGAACCCUGUGGAAAGUUGUGGACACCCUUUUUACUUCCAACUUUGAUUUGAAAACAGGGAUGGAUAAAGAAAGGAGAAGAUAAAGAACAUAGGUUGUUAUUUAGCUUGUUUUAUCAUGAGAUGGAAACAUUUGAGUCAAAUGUGAAGUUCCCACAGUUGCUAAAAAUCUGUUUGUAAAACUUGUCAAAAAUAUAACAGAGUAACUAGUUA